rnacentral:rRNA from 1 species
AUACGUAGGUGGCAAGCGUUGUCCGGAAUUACUGGGUGUAAAGGGAGCGCAGGCGGGCGUGCAAGUCAGCUGUGAAAUCCAUGGGCUUAACCCGUGGGCUGCAGUUGAAACUGUAUGUCUUGAGUGAAGUAGAGGUAGGCGGAAUUCCGAGUGUAGCGGUAAAAUGCGUAGAUAUUCGGAGGAACACCGGUGGCGAAGGCGGCCUACUGGGCUUUAACUGACGCUGAGGCUCGAAAGUGUGGGGAGCAAACAGGAUUAGAUACCCUGGUAGUCCACACUGUAAACGAUGAUUGCUAGGUGUGGGGGGUCUGACCCCUUCCGUGCCGCAGUUAACGCAAUAAGCAAUCCACCUGGGGAGUACGGCCGCAAGGCUAAAACUCAAAUGAAUUGACGGGG